AAGAACUUAAGUACCUUGUAAGUGAUCAGGAAAGAAGAGUUUUUCAAUUUGAUGAGGAGUGAUCUCAUCCAAGCACCUUUUGAUGGCCUACCGCCUGGAACAGUCCGCUUUGGCUGCCACAUCAUCUAAACUUCUCAUAUGAAUGAAAAGCCCCUUAGUUCUCCCAGAUGGAGAAUCAUUUAAUUAGAUGAGGGGCUUCUUUCUUUCUUUCUGAAUUGGUGAAUAAGGUGUAAGGAAGAGACCGUCUAGUUGUAAAAUUCAUUGCAGAGGAAUUGGGUCUGGAGGGCUCUUAUGUUCCCCAUAUUUAUAUUGAACAGAUUCAGCUUGAGAAGCUUGUAAAUGAUGUUAUGGCACUACCAAAUGAUUUGAAGACAAAGCUCAGCAUCGACGAUGAUAUAGCAUCAAGUCUCAAAGACGCACUUUCCUGGGCCUCUGCAGGCAUGAUUGCCUUGAGAAAUAAGAAUCUUAAGAGCUAC